AGAAGGAUACACACAUCACAUACAUUGAUUGCAGAGGCAUGUAUGCACGUACACAAGCAUGCACACAGGAACGAGUAUGCAUUCAUGCACGUGCACGCAGAAAACACACACACACACACACACACCACACAUUAGAUCCCAGCAGCCCCUGAAAACUGGAAUGAAUGAGCUGAAGUUGAAGCUGUUUCUGUGAGCUUUUACUGAAACUGUCCAGCUCAUUGUCUUAGGUAGGCUUUGCUUUCGUCGUUCGAGGGACUACAGCGUCACGUAGGACUGACGCCACCUGUGGAAAGACAAUGCGUUCCACAUGGGUAACAUGUUGGUAUUGAGCCUGGUUAGAGAGGCCGCAGAGAACCAUGCCUGUGGAAAGACAAUGCGUUCCACAUGGGUAACAUGUUGGUAUUGAGCCUGGUUAGAGAGGCCACAGAGAACCAUGCCUGUGGAAAGAUGGAGGUCUCAGGGAAAACCACCCAUCUAGGGAUUCAUUUGGAGAAAGAUGAGAACGGACUCAUCCUGAUCCUGAUUCAGACAGGAGUAACAUGGAGGAGAGGAUCCCAUCUUUCACAUGGCUCUGCUCUACACAACAAUGUACGGAUGGAAACAGGGCAAGUCAGUUAAGAACAAAUCCUUAUUUACAAUGACGGCCUACUUGGGCCAAACCCGGACGACGCUGGGCCAAUUGUGGGACAAUUAUGCGCCGCGCUAUGGGACUCCCAAUCACGGCCGGAUGUAAUACAGCCUGGAUGAUGAUGAUGAUGGUGAUGAUAACAUUGAUGAUGAUGAUGAUGAUGAUGGUGGUGAUGAUGAUAAUAAUGAUGACGAUGAUAACAUUGAUGAUUAUAAUGAUAAUGAUGAUAAUGAUGAUAAUGGUGAUGACUAGUGCAUUACAUGUGUGUCAUGUUCUUUUGUAAACCUACUGACCUGGCAGAGAGAUACUAUGUCUGCACUGUGAUUUUUCUGGACAUGGUGUACGGAACUGUUUCUAAUCAAUGCAACAAUGGUCUUCAGAGUGAGUACUGUAUGUAUGUACUGUUGAUGAGAGAAGAGAAGAGAAGAGAAGAGAGGAGAGGAGAGGAGGCUGUCAUCUCUGAGACAAAGGUUUUUAACUUGGGAGAGUCUGUCACUGGCUGUCUGCUGAGGGAAAGGUUACUGGGAUAAUGAUGGCGGAGGAGUGUUUAUCCACACUGCACACGCCUCACCCUUCCUCACACCUCCUGCCCUGCACAGUCUCAUCCCCUCCUCACCCAUCCUCCCCUGCACAGGAGUCCCUCUCUCACCCCUCCUCACCCCUCCUCCCUUGCACAAGACUACCUCUCUCACCCCUCCUCACGCUUCCUACCCCUUCCUUCCUCUCCUUUAUCUACUCACCCUUCCUCCUCCUCACCCAUACUCACACCUCCACACCAUCCUCCUCACUCUUCCUCACUCCUCCUAACCCCUAGGAAUGGAGGAGAGAGCCCUCACCCAGACAGAAACAGAAUGUUCAUCUCAGAAUGUUCAUCUCAGUGCUGUGAACCUGCCUUACUGUGACCUAUGGGUUUACGUGCCUUUGUUUAGAAAUAUUUGCCCAUGUGUGUGUGCACAUGCUUGUGUGUGUAUCUGUGUGUGCAUGCACGUGUGUGUGAUCAUGCGUGUAUGUGUGCGUGCGUAUGUAACGAUGACUGAUGAUGGUGUAUCUACUCACCUGUUGCUCAGAGCCAGAGGAAGAGACAACUCAUUGCUGUUGGAAUAAAUCAUGUCAAAUAAAAACUACUUCAUUUAAACAAA